AACAGGUCUGUGAUGCCCUUAGAUGUCCGGGGCUGCACGCGCGCUACACUGACUGGCUCAGCGUGUGCCUACCCUACGCCGGCAGGCGCGGGUAACCCGUUGAACCCCAUUCGUGAUGGGGAUCGGGGAUUGCAAUUAUUCCCCAUGAACGAGGAAUUCCCAGUAAGUGCGGGUCAUAAGCUUGCGUUGAUUAAGUCCCUGCCCUUUGUACACACCGCCCGUCGCUACUACCGAUUGGAUGGUUUAGUGAGGCCCUCGGAUCGGCCCCGCC
rnacentral:rRNA from 1 species